CCUACGGGAGUCUGCAGUGAGGAAUAUUGGUCAAUGGCCGGAAGGCUGAACCAGCCAAGCCGCGUGAAGGACGAAGGUGCCAAGGAUUGUAAACCUCUUUUGUCAAGGGACAAAAUCAGGCUCGAGAGCCUGACCGAGGGUACUUGAAGAAAAAGCAUCGGCUAACUCCGUGCCAGCAGCCGCGGUAAUACGGAGGAUGCGAGCGUUAUCCGGAUUUAUUGGGUUUAAAGGGUGCGUAGGCGGAGUGAUAAGUCAGCGGUAAAAGCGCGGGGCUCAACCCCGGCGAGCCGUUGAAACUGGGUGUCUUGAGUGGGCGAGGGGUAUGCGGAAUGCGCGGUGUAGCGGUGAAAUGCAUAGAUAUUGCGCAGAACUCCGAUUGCGAAGGCAGCAUACCGGCGGGGAACUGACGCUGAGGCACGAAAGCGUGGGUAUCGAACAGGAUUAGAUACCCUUGUAGUC
rnacentral:rRNA from 1 species